AACGUAGGAGACAAACGUUAUCCGGAGUUACUGGGCGUAAAGGGCGUGUAGGUGGUUUCGUAAGUCUGGCGUGAAAUAUCUCGGCUUAACCGAGGCAGGUCGUCAGAUACUGCGAGACUCGAGGACGGUAGAGGCGUGUGGAAUUCCGGGUGUAGCGGUGAAAUGCGUAGAGAUCGGGAGGAACACCCGUGGCGAAGGCGGCUCUCUGGUCGGCAUCUGACGCUGAGACGCGAAAGCGUGGGGAGCGAACGGG
rnacentral:rRNA from 1 species